GAUAUAAUCAAAUCCUCUUAUUAGCACAAAAGUCAUAUCUUAAUUUAGUAUAAUCAGGUUUAUAGUUUUUGUCCAACACUUCUUGUUGGCAUUCAGUGACUUAAUCACAUAUACAACAGUAGUUUUACUCUUACAUACUAUGUUCCCUGACAAUUUACAAAAUGUGUGAACUGGCCUGAGAGGAAUCAAUAACAUACAUAUUGCUCAAAAUCUUAUUUCAGUGACAAAUUCAAUAGCAGAAAUCAAUUUGCAAGGGAUAAUGAACUUAUUUAGUGAGGAGAUUCCACACUUGGAUGCUACAGCAUCAGUUUCUUCAUUCAAGAAAGGGGUAGUCAGUAUAACCUAGAACUGGAUCAGAAAUGUAGAACGUCUCCCUGUUAUAUUUGUUCAGAGGAGCAUCAAGUGCAAAUCUCUUUGGUAAAUCUGGAUUAGCUAAGAACAAACGACCAUAUACAACAAGGUCUGCCCUGUUUUCAGCUAUGGCAUUGAUCCCAUCAUGUCGGUCGUAACCUCCUGCAACCAUGAAAGUGCCUUUGAAGGCCUUUCUCAUUGGCACAAGGCUGUCGGGGCAUUCAGUUUUUUCACCAACAGUUUUCAUUCUUGGUUCCACCAUAUGACAGUAAAGAAUACCAUAUUUAUUGAGGGCAUUGACCAUAUAAAGUCCCAAUUCAUUGGGGUUGGAGUCUCCACAUUCUGCAUACUCCGCAAAAGGUGAUAAUCUUAUUCCAACUCUUUCUGCUCCUAUCUCAUUUGCAACAGCUUCAACAACUUCCAAAGCAAAUCGACAGCGGUUCUCCAGAGACCCACCAUAUUCAUCUGUCCUGUCAUUCACUUUAUCUUUCAUGAAUUGCUCAAGGAGGUAGCCAUGAGCUCCAUGGAUUUCAACCCCAUC
rnacentral:lncRNA from 1 species